GCACCCGUAGCUCAGCUGGAUAGAGCGCUGCCCUCCGAAGGCAGAGGCCACACGUUCGAAUCGUGUCGGGUGCACCA
rnacentral:tRNA from 18 species